AUGUACUACGUACUAGAGAAGACAUGUCAACUAGACUGUUUCUGGCACUUAAAUAGGUCCACGGACCGAAAUACAAUUAGUAUGUGCCCAGCGCUUGUCACGAGGUGACGCGUUUGAGCGAAGUUUUGUUUUCUGAAAAUAUGCCUUCAUGUGCAUUAAGAUACUGUUCAAAGAACACCAAGAACACAAGUAAAAGUCAAGGAGUGACUUUUCAUAAGUUUCCUCGGCCGUGCCGUGAUACAAGAGAAAUAUGGAUCAAAUUCGUUCAAAAGAAUCGCAGCGAAGAAACAUGGUUACCUACCGAGCAUUCAUGCAUAUGUUCCAUGCAUUUCCAAGAAAACGAAAAAUUCACCUCUAAAUCGGGAAGAGUGUACUUAAAGAAAUCUGCAGUGCCAUGCGAUAACCCAUCAACAUGUGAACGGGAAGUAUCAGAAUCGUUGUCUGAAUCAGUAAGCAGUUCGAAUUCUAUUUUUGACAGUCCAAGAAAAAUUGUACUUAAAAAUAAAUUACGCAAGGAAUCUGAAGCUAACAAGAAACUCACUGAAAAAAUGAAGAAAAUUCAAAGCCAAAAUGUUUAUUUGAAGAAAAAAAAUGCUUCUUACAAAAAAAUUGUCCAAAAUUUGAAAGAUACAUUUGGACUCAAUUUAAAUGCCGAGAUUGAUUUAAUGGCUAAAGCAGAAGUUGUUGAGUUACAUAAAUCUUUAAUGAAAAAGAAU